GUGAGGAAUAUUGGUCAAUGGGCGCAAGCCUGAACCAGCCAUGCCGCGUGCAGGAAGACGGUCCUAUGGAUUGUAAACUGCUUUUAUUUGGGAAUAAACUCCGGUACGUGUACCGGCCUGAAGGUACCAAAUGAAUAAGCACCGGCUAACUCCGUGCCAGCAGCCGCGGUAAUACGGAGGGUGCAAGCGUUAUCCGGAAUCAUUGGGUUUAAAGGGUCCGCAUGCGGUCUUAUAAGUCAGUGGUGAAAGCCUACAGCUCAACUGUAGAACUGCCAUUGAUACUGUAGGACUUGAAUUCGAUCGAAGUGUGCGGAAUGUGACAUGUAGCGGUGAAAUGCUUAGAUAUGUCACAGAACACCGAUAGCGAAGGCAGCUCACUAGGUCUGGAUUGACGCUCAGGGACGAAAGCGUGGGGAGCAAACAGGAUUAGAAACCCUAGUAGUCC
rnacentral:rRNA from 1 species